CUUCAAGUUGCUGAAGAGGAAAAAAAUGGAAAUUUGCAGACUGGCUCAGUUGGUACAGCAUGCAACUUUUGACCUCAGGGUCACGAGUUCCAGCCCUACGUUUGGCACCGAGCCUACUUAAAAAACGAAAACAGAAACAAAAGCCCUCUGUAGAUUAGCAAAACAGGCUUCCCCAAGUGCCACUGAGACCCGCACAGAUUAGGGGAUGAGUGAACAAGCCCACGAACGGGAGCCUGUGUUGUGGGGUCUCAGCCCGUCAACAAACAGCGUUGUGCCUGGGCCAGCCCCGUUGGUGCUCGCCACUGCCCCCGCAACAACCGUGGGCAAGCAUGGCGGUGGAGCUUGAUUACUCACAUGUCCUGGGAAGUACAGGACACGUCUGGGACCACACAGCGAGGCCACAAGUCUGGGGUUCUUCUGCUUUUAUUGGGUCAAGGAGGAGAGCACUUCGGGUUUCACGGGCUUACUCUUUAUCAGAGAAUUUAAUAUAAGAGCAGGAAUGUAAGUUCGUGAAGAAAAAAAAGAAGACCAAGACAUCCAAAUGGUCAGUUAGUGAGAUCAACAGAGAUCUCUGAAACAAAGAGCAUGGGGUGAGGCACUGGCUCAGUCCCAGAGGCCAGGAGCUGCCACCAUGCAAUGGGUGCUCUGGGCUCCCCAGGCUUCAGGCAGGCGUCGUUUGCCUUAUAAACGGAAACCCCCUGUCCACUCACACAGAAACCCGGUGUCCAAUGUGGACCGUCCCCAGAGGGGCCCUCUGCAGCCUCGUGGUCCAAGGGUCUUUCCUAAUUAUUUCCUGUUUCAGCCCCACAAACAUUUCUCAUCGUUUGCCCAUUUCCCUCCCCUGCUCUGGAGAGUUCUUGGCCAUUUCCUUAUCUUUGUGGUCCUUCCUUCCUUCUUCUGAAAUCCUCACAAUGUGGGUAUUGAUAUGCCUCAUGGGGCUUUUUUUCCUUUUUGCUCUGCUAACUGAAACAUUUCCGGUGACCUAUUUUCAGUUCUCUGGUCCUUUCUUCUGUUGGGUCUCUAAUGAGGAAAACAAAGACAAGAGAAAUCUAGCUUAAAUUAAAUCUUACAGCUUGCAGCCCACUGAUAGAUCCCUGAGACACGCAGCGCGUGACCUUCCUCGAGGAACUCGUGGCUGCCUUAAUGCUGAUGUUUUGCUAGACACUAAGGGUAACCUUAUUUUAACAGCGACUAGCCCCUCAACGUCUUGAAAGCCUUGCUUCAACAUUCCUUUGAAACUUCUUUUAUCUCUACCCCACCCCCCUCCACAAACCUGAAAGUAUAUAGUGUCACCCACCACGGCGCCAGUGCAGCUCUUUGUGCCCACAAGUCCUGCCCCGUGUUAUAAUAAAAGCACUUUUUUUGUGCCAAAAACGUCUCAAGAAUUUGCUCAGGCUCUAAUACCCUAACCCGCGGCCACCCUAGGUGGCAGAGCAAGCCUGCCUUUUGGCUAAAAGUUAGUAACCUGGGCCAGAAUGGUAAUAAGACCCAGAAGCUUGAUGACCUCUCUUUUCUCCUGUCCUUAUACAAACUCGUCUGUCUUGGGCACAGGACUGUGACUAGCACAGCUGCUGAUCGUAAGACUCCUGUGUGAGGUUUCCUCCUCAUUGGGCUAAAGGGAUCCCCUCCACAUCCCUGGUCUAGCCGCUUCUGGCCGAGGGACCUCUACUCAGAACCGGCCCAAACCAGUGCUGGAUAGAAUUAAAACCCAACCAAGGAUGUUUCCUAGAGAAAUUGGCUGUGAAGACCACAUGUGUUGGGAUGUCACUUAGAUCAUGAUGGAUUUCUAUCUUUACUGUUUUUCAUCAGUGUCCCCUACUGGCUACUCAGGUUACAAAAUUGGGUAACAUCCCCUUGUAAAGCUUUUUUGGUGUUUUCCAUGGGUUAAAAAUGGCAGGUUCUUCGUGGCACAGCAUGGUAUUUCAGGCUAUGCUCUGGCACCCAUUCGUAGCCUAGAAUGCAACGGGGAGGAGGGGGCCCUGGUAUCCCUCCUGUAGGGCCUUUAUGGUGGAGUGGUGGUCAAUACCAGCUCCCUUUGAAGGACCCCUCCAGUUGCUUUUGACACCUGGACCCUCUGACGUAUCCUGGCAGGACACUACCUAGGAGUUGGGGGGAAUUUUUGGUAAUGGACCUUCUCUACUCUUCUAGGAACCUGGGAUCUUCUUCUUCAGUCCCCAAGACUCUCCCUUGGGAUGCUUUUAACCCACUAAGAUCAACUCAGUUUGCAAGAUCUAAAAAAGAAACAAACUGGAGAGUUAAGACGGUGGAGAAGUAGAGGGACCCUAAGCUGGUCUCUCCCAACACAGCUAGGUAGUUAUCAAAUCACUCUGAACCUCCGAGAAGUCAAUCAGAGUUCUGAAGAACAGAACCUGCAAGUUUACAAGUAGACCAGUGACCACCUUCUGGAAGGUCCUACUCUCCUGGAAGCAAGCAUUCAGUUCCGUGGGAACGGCCCUGCUCCAACGGCCUCAGCUCCCCCCCCCGACACUGAGAACUGCCUCUUAGCUGAGAACGAGCAGGAAGAGACAUCAGGCGGUGGUGCCAGGAGGAUACAAGCAGGAGCAGAGCCGGUCCUGGGGACGCAUUCGUGACUGUAGCCGCCAGCCCAGGAACAUCCCACAGCUGCUGCCGGAGACCCAAAGAGAUGACAUAGGAUCCCUAGAACCCUGCAAAGCAUGACACCAGUUCUUACAGCAAAAGGGCAACAAAUGGGAUAAAAAUGGAGCUUGCUUCAUAAAAUGACUCACAAAGUACACUACCUUUUCCAAAUAUUUGCAGACGUUUGUGUCUAUUGGCAUUAUUUCUUUCAAGAUACUUGGUAGAAUUGCUAGCAAUGCUCCGUGGGCCUGGAGUUUUCUUUGUUGAAAGCUUGAAAUCUGGUUCAAUUUAUUUCAUCGGGACAGCACUGGUCAGGUGUUCUUUCUCUCCCGGUGUCCUUUCCAGUUUUUUUUUUUCCUCAAUAUUUC